rnacentral:lncRNA from 10 species
GCCUGGAAUAGAAGAGAAUGACCUAGCAAAAGUUGAUGAUCUUCCCCCUGACGGGGUUUCACCAUGUUAGCCAGGAUGGUCUCGAUCUCCUGACCUCGUGAUCCGCCUGCCUCGGCCUCCCAAAGUGCUGGAAUUACAGGCGUGAGCCACCGCGCCUGGCCUAUUUUUUUAUUUUUUGAGAUGGAGUUUCGCUCUUGUAGCCAAGGCUGGAGUGCAAUGGUGCGAUCUCAGCUCACUGCAACUGCCGCCUCCCAGGUUCAAGCAAUUCUCCUGCCUCAGCCUCCUGAGUAGCUGGGAUUACAGGUGCCCGCCACCACAUCCAGCUAAUUUUUUUUUUUUUUGAGACAGAGUCUCGCUGUGUCGCCCAGGCUGGAGUGCAGUGGCACGAUCUCGGCUCACGGCAAGCUCCGCCUCCCGGGUUCAUGCCAGCCUCUGAGUAGCUGGGACUACAGGUGCCCGCCACCACGCCCAGCUAAUUUUUUGUAUUUUAGUAGAGACGGGGUUUCAACUGUAUUGCCCAGGCUGGUCUCGAACUCCUGAGCUCAGGUAAUCCGUCCGCCUCGGCCUCCCAAAGUGCUAGGAUUACAGGUGUAAGGCACUGUGCCCAGCCUUUCUUCUUGAUAUUUAGGAGUUCUUUAACAGUAUGCAAUGCAAAUAUCUUCUCUGUAUUAUACCUAUAAACAAAGAGGAAAAUCGUAUUUCUUUCUUGGAAACUCUUUUUUAGCUUUAAAAAUCCAAUCAGUCCCAGUAAAAAUGUAAAAAUUACCCCUACUGACUUACUUUGGGGGAAACCCUCUAUAGGUAUAAAGAUAUUUAAGUACCUGAGCA